rnacentral:misc_RNA from 1 species
GAUGAAGAACGUAGCGAAUUGCGAUAAGUAAUGUGAAUUGCAGAUUUUCAGUGAAUCAUCGAAUCUUUGAACGCACAUUGCGCCCCUUGGUAUUCCGAGGGGCAUGCCUGUUCGAGCGUCAUUACACCACUCAAGCACCGCUUGGUAUUGGGCAUCGUCCGUCGAAAGGCGGGCGUGCCUCGAAGACCUCGGCGGGGUUUCUCCAACUUCGGGCGUAGUAGAGUUAAAUCAAAACGUCUUAUAAGCUUGGUGAGAUCUCAUUGCCGUUAAACCUUUUAUUUUUUCAGGUUGACCUCGGAUCAGGUAGGGAUACCCGCUGAACUUAAGCAUAUCAAUAAGCGGAGGA